rnacentral:ncRNA from 2 species
UCAGAUCCAGUAUGAGCAAUUAUUCACUU